ACCAGAAGUAGGUAGCUUAACCGUAAGGAGGGCGCUUACCACGGUAGGAUUCGUGACUGGGGUGAAGUCGUAACAAGGUAGCCGUAUCGGAAGGUGCGGCUGGAUCACCUCCUUUCUAGA
rnacentral:rRNA from 1 species